CAUAUCGCUACAAACAUCAACAGAUUUCAGUCUUCUGAGGAAGAACAAUCUGCUCUGUCCCCUUUUAUACGCUGCAUUUACCUGCACCGACCAGUCCAAUCUAUUGUCAAUGUGGACACCGAGGUACUUGUAUGUGGAGACCAUCUCAAUGUCCACAUUAUCUACACUGACUGGUAGGUAUUGUGCUUUCCUCUUGCCAAAGUCAAUUAUCAUUUCCUUUGUCUUACUGUUGUA